UACAUAGGCCUCGAGCGUUAGGCGGAAUCACUGGGCUUAAAGCGUGUGUAGGCGGACUUCUAAGUACCUUGUGAAAUCCCCGGCUCACCCGUGGAACUGCUGGGUAUACUGGUCGUCUUGAGCCUUCUAGGGGCUACCGGAACAAAUGGUGGAGCGGUGAAAUGCGUAGAUAUCAUUUGGAACGCCAAUGGUGAAAACAGGUAGCUGGGGAAGUGCUGACGCUGAGACACGAAAGCCAGGGGAGCGAACGGG
rnacentral:rRNA from 1 species